rnacentral:lncRNA from 1 species
AACAUACCCAGCAGACCACUGGACGUUCCAAGCUUUAAAUACCCAGAAAGAAAUCAGAAGUUGAUGUCAGGUAUUUCCUUUGUUGUUUACCUUAUUAGUGGAGACAUGUCUCACACAGACCUGAAGCUCAUUGAUUCAGCUGACUACCUGGCCAACCAGCCCCAGGGACCUUUUUAUAUCCGCUACGUAUCACCUUGGUCACAGAUACACACUCCCAUCUGACUUUUUAUACGGGUACCUGGGAUCCAACCUCAGGGCCUCAUGCUUGCAUACGAUGCCGACUGAGUUGUUGCUCCAGUCUCCUAGUUUCUUUUCCCAUGUCAGAGAGAUCUAAAAGAUUUUGUGCAGACAGGAGGGAGAACCACAUGGGGAAGCAGAUCUCAUACUGAUUUCUGCUGACAUAACUUAGGGGUUAUGUCAGCAGACAUAACCUCAUUCUUCUAAUGCAUGUGGAUGGGUAGAGAAGCUACUACACAAAAAAGAAAGUAUCUUUGUGAGCGAAAGGCAUGUAUUGUGUUUAUAUCCCCAUCUAUGCCAAAGGUGCAGAAUUUUACCUGUAGCAUUGUUUUGUUU